GACCCAGUGGUGUAGCGGAAACAUACUUACAUAUAAUAUGAAAAUUACCAUGAUCUAUGUAAGAGAUCCCUGUUCAACUCAGGGCUGGGCUG